AAAUUCCCUUGUGGCAAGAGAAUCUUCAAAGCAGUCACAAUAACAAAGUCAAUCAGAAAGGACUGGUACCCACCCAAAGUGGACCUACACAUGGCAAAUUCCAUUCAGUGUCAGUGCACAGCAUUAAUGUAGGAACAGUGAAUCUCUGUCAGCAGAGAUAUUCUGAACGAGGACAGGCGGACUGUGACUCAUCUAGAAGCAGGGUCAGAACGAGUGGACAAGUAAUAGACAACAGGCCACCCAGAUGAGAUAAAACAUGCUGAAUUUAAUGAGAGAUAUAACUAGAACGGUGAUACCCCAGUGUACUCCCAGCUACAAUUCAUGGGCAUGCAGUCUUUUUCCACAGCUUGUGAGAGGAAGCAGGCCUCAGUCCAGUUCCCAGACCGGCUGUGCCAGAGCUAUAGUCUCACUCGUAGGCUCUGACCCCGUGCCCGUGCGGCUGUCUUGCAGGAGCGAGCCAAAGCCGAGGCCCUGAACAGGAGGCUGCGCGGCCAGCUGUCGGACUACCGCGUCCCCCAAGUCCUGGAGUACGUGCACGGCAAAGUCAGGCACUGCGAGCUGGAGCAGAGCGUGCGGGUGUGGGAGCGCAAGGUGGAGAUCUCCGAGAUGGCUUUGAAAACGCAUCUUAAAGCCUGGAACAAACUGAAAGCCUCCAGUGGGCAGCAGCAGGACUGGGUGCCUGCAUAGAGGGGCCGGGGAGAGGAAAAGCAACUGGCGUGUCUUUACAGGAAACCCUUCAGUCUCGACUCAGACAGGCCACCACAGGAAACUGACGCAGCAGCCUGUGGACCGCCUCCCCCGACCUGCAGCGUUUCCAAAUAAAUUAUAUCAACUUUGGUUUAUCAUGAACGUCUCCACUUGUGAACCCUUGUGUAUUGGGAGCGUCUUGUUCUGCAAGUUGAUCAUGGAGGCACUGUUCACUGCGUGCUGCAAUGGGGCAGCCCAAAGGGAUGGGAUUUUGCCACAUGUGCUCACACUCCCCAUGGGCACGCAGAGCACGGCAUGGGGA